rnacentral:misc_RNA from 1 species
AACCAUAGAAACCUGCGGAGUACCUGCGGAGGGAUCAUUACUGAAUUGAUUUUGGGGAUGUUGCUGGUCUCUUGAGGCAAUGGUGCACUCCCUCAAACAUUUCACAAUUUCCAUCUCACCCAUGUGCACAUCCUGUAGGUGGUCUCCCAACCCCCCCACCUUUCCUUGGGGGAGUGUGUGGGUCUGGUCUCCUAUGUAUUUCCUUGCCAACAUCACACGUUUUGACGGAAUGAAUCCUGU